rnacentral:rRNA from 1 species
GAUGAACGCUAGCGGCAGGCCUAACACAUGCAAGUCGAGGGGCAGCGGGGUCUAGCAAUAGACUGCCGGCGACCGGCGCACGGGUGAGUAACGCGUAUGUAACCUGCCCUGUUCUGGGGUAUAGCCCGGAGAAAUCCGGAUUAACACCCCAUGGUAAUGUUGAGUGGCAUCACUUGAUAUUUAAAGGUUACGGAACAGGA